CAUGGCUCAGAAGAUGCCAUCCUUCGAAAGCGGUGGAAUCCUCUGGUUCACUGAUCUUACAACUCCAGACAGUUUUUACAUCUUGCCUCCCCUCAGUAGGCAGCAGAAUUCAGCAGCCAGAAGAAGCAUGAGGCUGCUUUGUUGGAUCUCUGCGAGUGUUGCAUUUCAAGCCACAUUCAGUAUUGAAUCGGCCGUGUACUGUUUCAUGAUCUCAUCUAGAGU